UACGAAGGGGGCUAGCGUUGCUCGGAAUCACUGGGCGUAAAGCGCACGUAGGCGGCUUUCUAAGUCAGGGGUGAAAUCCUGGAGCUCAACCCCGGAAUUGCCUUUGAUACUGGGGAUCUCGAGUCCGGAAGAGGUGAGUGGAACUCCGAGUGUAGAGGUGAAAUUCGUAGAUAUUCGGAAGAACACCAGUGGCGAAGGCGGCUCACUGGUCCGGUACUGACGCUGAGACGCGAAAGCGUGGGGAGCGAACCGG
rnacentral:rRNA from 1 species